GGAAAUGACCCUCUGUAUUAUGUGAAUACUAAACAAUCCUACCAAGUCGAAACAAAAACACCCGAUUUUGAGCUCUGUCAAUAAUGAAGAUAAAGACUGUCACAUCAAAACUAUAUUGCAACUGUAAUACCCAAAUUUUUACCCGGCCCACGAUAAAUAAAGUCCAGUCUUUUUUACAAGCCCAAUUACAAGAUAAAUUACAUGGCCCGAUUUUAAACGGUGGCCCAGUUACAAACACGGCCCAAAAUAGAUGAAGAAACACUAGGGUUUCUAAUCUUCAACAGCGUCGCAAGAGGAGUCUUCUGAAUCUCCGUGAUCUUCACCUACAAGGAAACAAAACAACAAGGAAAGAAAUAAAAACAGCAAGGAUAGAAAGAAAAUCAAAGAUUCGUAAAUCGAAUCAAACAAGAUUUGUUUCUUGAUUUCGAUUUAUCUUUUCAUUCGGCUAUAAAAAGCCAUUAACGCAUUGUAAUAAAGGAUUGAAAAAAUCAAAUAAAAACUGAGGCUUUUACUUUCACAAUACAGAGAGCAUAGUCGAUUAAAGGUUGAUACUUGUAUUUCUAUUUUAUUUUUUCCGUUAUAUCUAUUUAUUUUUAUCAUUUAUAAAUAAUAUAAAUACAAAAGGAAAGAAAUAACCUGUAUUCGAGUCCUAACCGCCGCGGACGGCCGAGGAAGUCGUCACCGAGGAUUAACGACCGAAAACCAAAAGGUUUUCUCGAGAUUUGGGCCCUCUCCAUCAAUAUUUUAGCAAUUUCGGGGUUAGAUUCGAGUUUAAAUGCUUUAGAAGGGUCAGAUCUGAAAUUUUCGGCUCUCCAACCACCGCAUACGGCGGCGCCGCCACCGGCCGGUGGCCGAUGACCGGCCGAUGCCGGACUUAGGCCGGAUGACUGAAGAGGGGGGAGAGUUUCUUGAAAGUUUUUUUUUUGUUUUUUUUUAAAGAAUGGGAAAUGAAAUAUUUGAUUUAAAUUUGGCUUAAAUAAGCCAAUCAAAACGGCGUCGUUUUUGAAGGGAGGAUCCGCGCGUCGACCCG
rnacentral:lncRNA from 1 species